AUUGAACGCUGGCGGCAGGCCUAACACAUGCAAGUCGAACGAGUGGCGGACGGGUGAGUAAUGUAUGGGGACUGCCCGAUAGAGGGGGCUAACUACUGGAAACUGUAGCUCAUACCGCAUACUAUCGGAUAACCCAUAUGGGAUUAGCUAGUAGGUGAGGUAAUGGCUCUCCUGGUCGACGAUCCCUAGCUGGUCUGAGAGGAUGAUCAGCCACAUGGGGACUGAGACACGGCCCAGACUCCUACGGAGGCAGCAGUGGGGAAUAUUGCACAAUGGGCGCAAGCCUGAUGCAGCCAUGCCGCGUGUAUGGAGAAGGCCCUAGGGUUGUAAAGUACUUUCAGUCGGGAGGCGUUACCGACAGAAGAAGCAACGGCGAAAUAAGGGCCAGCAGCCGCGGUAAUAC
rnacentral:rRNA from 1 species